UUAAGGAUCGGGCCAGUUUGGGGAGUGAAAUGGAUUUUGAAUGGUAUUGAUGCCUUUUUGUUUUCUGUUCAGAUGAUAUUCUGUUUUUUUCUCUUCUAUGCUAUUCAUAUAGCGGAUUAUAUUAGUAAGGAGUGUACUUUGAGGAAUACUUGCCUUCUUGGGAGAAAUCCCACUUGGUCAUGGAACAUGAGUACUGUUGGAUUCUGUUGCUCAGCAAUUGUUUCCACUGCUGGACUAAAACCAAUCUUUUGCCAUCUUCCCCGGGGCUUGAUGUCGAGGCCAAGUCACUGUUUCACUAGCCCUCAUGAUACUAAAACCCCCAGCAGGUGGGAGAAGUUAACUGUAUGCUGCCCAUAGACCCCAGACCAGCUGGAACCAGAAGGUUGAUGCUGCUGACGUCCACUUACUUCACCAUCAACCAGUCAGAAGAACCUCCACGAGCCGAUCAUGCCUUCUUUACUAUAAAACUCCUCACUACCCCCUCCAGGUCAGGACACACAGUUUUGAGGGCAUUAUCCCGCUGUGGCCCCCUUUGCCUGGCAAAGCAAUAAAGCUAUUCUUUUCUACUUCACCCAAAAC